rnacentral:lncRNA from 1 species
GUUUCAUAAAUGAAAACUAGACAAACUUGCAGAACUAUUUGAAAGUUUUAGUAGUCCGUUUAUAAGAACCGAUGACGAAACACAAUUUCCAUCCCAUUAUUACAUUUUGACGUUCUGCAUUUCUCCGUAUAUUCUCUACACCCAGGUGUAUAUAUCACAGAAUUUCAUAAUCUGGCUAAAAUUAGUUCAAGUUGUUAUUGUAUGAAAACUAUCUUAUUUUCAAUACUGAAAUCUAUCUUUGUUUUUUUUAUUUAAUGUCACACGAACAUAAAGU